AUGGCCUGGGCUGUAUAUUUCAUGGUACUUCUCAGUUACUGCUCAGGUGUCAUCUCACAGCCAACGUUGACUCAACCUGCCUCCCAGUCCGUACCCCAGGGACAAACUAUCAAAAUCUCCUGCACUGCCAGCAGUAGCGUGGGCACUGUUUACUGGUAUCAACAGAAACCUGGACAGAGCCCUCGCUUUGUGCACUGUGAUGCUUGCAGCAGCAGGGGAUCUGUCAUCCCAGAUCGGUUCACUGCAACCCGCUCUGGGACCACAGGAUAUUUAACCAUCACCGGCACUGAAACUGAAGACGCCGCCGAUUACUACUGCGGUGCCUGGUUUGGCAACUUGCACAGUGAUCGGUUCACUGCAUCUCCCUCUGGAAACAUUGGCUAUUUAACCAUCACUAGCAUCCAUGUUGAAGAUGAGGCAGAUUAUUAUUGUUCAGUGUGGCAGAGCAUUGGUUCUGAGCUGUAG